GACAGAGGGCGCGAGCGUUGUUCGGAAUUACUGGGCGUAAAGCGUGCGCAGGCGGCGCCGCAAGUCAGGCGUGAAAUCCCCGAGCUUAACUUGGGAAUGGCGCUUGAAACUACGGUGCUGGAGUGUGGCAGAGGGAGGUGGAAUUCCACGUGUAGCGGUGAAAUGCGUAGAUAUGUGGAGGAACACCGAUGGCGAAGGCAGCCCCCUGGGAUGUGACUGACGCUCAUGUACGAAAGCGUGGGGAGCAAACAGG
rnacentral:rRNA from 1 species